rnacentral:rRNA from 1 species
ACGCUGGCGGCAGGCUUAACACAUGCAAGUCGAACGAAGUUAGGAAGCUUGCUUCUGAUACUUAGUGGCGGACGGGUGAGUAAUGCUUAGGAAUCUGCCUAGUAGUGGGGGAUAACUUGGGGAAACCCGAGCUAAUACCGCAUACGACCUACGGGUGAAAGGGGGCUUUUAGCUCUCGCUAUUAGAUGAGCCUAAGUCGGAUUAGCUGGUUGGUGGGGUAAAGGCCUACCAAGGCGACGAUCUGUAGCUGGUCUGAGAGGAUGAUCAGCCACACUGGGGCUGAGACACGGCCCAGACUCCUACGGGAGGCAGCAGUGGGAAUAUUGGACAAUGGGCGAAAGCCUGAUCCAGCCAUGCCGCGUGUGUGAAGAAGGCCUUUUGGUUGUAAAGCACUUUAAGUGGGGAGGAAAAGCUUAUGGUUAAUACCCAUAAGCCCUGACGUUACCCACAGAAUAAGCACCGGCUAACUCUGUGCCAGCAGCCGCGGUAAUACAGAGGGUGCAAGCGUUAAUCGGAAUUACUGGGCGUAAAGCGCGCGUAGGUGGUUAUUUAAGUCAGAUGUGAAAGCCCCGGGCUUAACCUGGGAACUGCAUCUGAUACUGGAUAACUAGAGUAGGUGAGAGGGGAGUAGAAUUCCAGGUGUAGCGGUGAAAUGCGUAGAGAUCUGGAGGAAUACCGAUGGCGAAGGCAGCUCCCUGGCAUCAUACUGACACUGAGGUGCGAAAGCGUGGGUAGCAAACAGGAUUAGAUACCCUGGUAGUCCACGCCGUAAACGAUGUCUACCAGUCGUUGGGUCUUUUAAAGACUUAGUGACGCAGUUAACGCAAUAAGUAGACCGCCUGGGGAGUACGGCCGCAAGGUUAAAACUCAAAUGAAUUGACGGGGGCCCGCACAAGCGGUGGAGCAUGUG